UAGGGAAUCUUCCACAAUGGGCGAAAGCCUGAUGGAGCAACGCCGCGUGUGUGAUGAAGGGUUUCGGCUCGUAAAACACUGUUGUAAGAGAAGAAUGACAUUGAGAGUAACUGUUCAAUGUGUGACGGUAUCUUACCAGAAAGGGAACGGCUAAAUACGUGCCAGCAGCCGCGGUAAUACGUAUGUUCCAAGCGUUAUCCGGAUUUAUUGGGCGUAAAGCGAGCGCAGACGGUUAUUUAAGUCUGAAGUGAAAGCCCUCAGCUCAACUAGGAAUUGCUUUGGAAACUGGAUGACUUGAGUGCAGUAGAGGAAAGUGGAACUCCAUGUGUAGCGGUGAAAUGCGUAGAUAUAUGGAAGAACACCAGUGGCGAAGGCGGCUUUCUGG
rnacentral:rRNA from 1 species